rnacentral:misc_RNA from 1 species
AAGUCGUAACAAGGUCUCCGUAGGUGAACCUGCGGAGGGAUCAUUAACACGUUUUAAAACACGUUUUAUACCAACCAACCACGUGAACUAUUUAACAAACUUCUCCUAGAAAAGAGAGACUCUUGUCUUUUCUCUUUUAGGGGAUAAACAACCACUUUCACCAUUUCUAUAACCAUUGACUGAUCUUUUCUUUGUUAUUAAUUUUAAUAAGGAAAAACAAUAAUCAAAUAUCUAAGCACAACUCUUAGCAACGGAUAUCUUGGUUCUC